GUCGUGGGGGAUAACAGUUGGAAACGACUGCUAAUACCGCAUACGCCCUACGGGGGAAAGGAGGGGACCUUCGGGCCUUCCGCGAUUGGAUGAACCUAGGUGGGAUUAGCUAGUUGGUGAGGUAAUGGCUCACCAAGGCGACGAUCCCUAGCUGUUCUGAGAGGAUGAUCAGCCACACUGGGACUGAGACACGGCCCAGACUCCUACGGGAGGCAGCAGUGGGGAAUAUUGCACAAUGGGGGAAACCCUGAUGCAGCCAUGCCGCGUGUGUGAAGAAGGCCUUCGGGUUGUAAAGCACUUUCAGUAGGGAGGAAAGGUUGUAAGUUAAUACCUUGCAGCUGUGACGUUACCUACAGAAGAAGGACCGGCUAACUCCGUGCCAGCAGCCGCGGUAAUACGGAGGGUCCAAGCGUUAAUCGGAAUUACUGGGCGUAAAGCGUGCGCAGGCGGUUUGUUAAGCGAGAUGUGAAAGCCCCGGGCUCAACCUGGGAAUUGCAUUUCGAACUGGCAAACUAGAGUCUUGUAGAGGGGGGUAGAAUUCCAGGUGUAGCGGUGAAAUGCGUAGAGAUCUGGAGGAAUACCGGUGGCGAAGGCGGCCCCCUGGACAAAGACUGACGCUCAGGCACGAAAGCGUGGGGAGCAAACAGGAUUAGAUACCCUGGUAGUCCACGCCGUAAACGAUGUCUACUCGGAGUUUGGUGUCUUGAACACUGGGCUCUCAAGCUAACGCAUUAAGUAGACCGCCUGGGGAGUACGGCCGCAAGGUUAAAACUCAAAUGAAUUGACGGGGGCCCGCACAAGCGGUGGAGCAUGUGGUUUAAUUCGAUGCAACGCGAAGAACCUUACCUACUCUUGACAUCCAGAGAAUUCGCUAGAGAUAGCUUAGUGCCUUCGGGAACUCUGAGACAGGUGCUGCAUGGCUGUCGUCAGCUCGUGUUGUGAAAUGUUGGGUUAAGUCCCCGCACGAGCGCAACC
rnacentral:rRNA from 1 species